UACGUAGGUGUCAAGCGUUGUCCGGAUUUAUUGGGCGUAAAGCGCCCGCAGGCGGCUUGCCAAGUUCGAUGUGAAAUCUCCCGGCUCAACUGGGAGGGUGCAUCGAAAACUGGCAGGCUUGAGGCAGGGAGAGGGAUGUGGAAUUCCAGGUGUAGUGGUGAAAUGCGUAGAUAUCUGGAGGAACACCGGUGGCGAAGGCGGCAUCCUGGACCGGCAUUGACGCUGAGGCGCGAAAGCGUGGGGAGCAAACAGG
rnacentral:rRNA from 1 species